AUGGAAAGCACUUUGAAAAGAGGGUGAAAAGCACCUGAAACCGCCAUGGGGGAAGCGGAUUGCAUCAGUGUUUGCUUGUAUCUGUUCAGCUAUCAAAUUGGUAGUGUAUUCAGUACUUGCUGUGUUGGCAUGGCUGCUUUGGCUUUGGAUUAUGCAAGGCUAAGUGGUGAGGGCUCCUUUUAGUUGAGGAUGUCGACAAAAUGAUGCGACCCGACCCGUCUUGAAACACGGACCAAGGAGUCUAGCACGACUGCAAGUCGAAGGGUUUAAAAACUCAGGGGCGAAGUGAAAGCGAAUAUUAGGAGAUCGGAUACAGAUUAGGGAGGUGUUGCGACGUUGUCAAAAUAUCCUACCCAGAGCAGUUGUGCUGGGACCCGAAAGAUGGUGAACUAUGCCGGAAUAGGGCAAAGCCAGAGGAAACUCUGGUGGAGGCUCGUAGCGAUGCUGACGUGCAAAUCGCUCGUCGAAUUUGGGUAUAGGGGCGAAAGACUAAUCGAACCAUCUAGUAGCUGGUUCCCUCCGAAGUUUCUCUCAGGAUAGCGGGCCGACGAUGUGUGUUGUUUUGUGU
rnacentral:rRNA from 1 species